rnacentral:lncRNA from 1 species
UUGCAGUCUGUCAGUCAUAUAAUGGAGCUGCUUGAAUUUUUAAAUGCAUGUUUUAAACAUAUUGAUUUUCCUCAGCGGAGUCGGUGGCCACCAGGGUGGCGUCUCUGAGGACUCAAUAUGCCAGACUGAGGAAACCGAAAGCAAGCGGGGGCGAGAAGAAGCCCCUCACGAUGAGGCAGCGCUGGCUCCUGAGGGCCCUUGAUUUCCUGAAGCCACACAUCGUUCAUCGGCGACACGAGACCACUCUGGGUUUGGCGUCCUCAGAUAAAGCGGAGGAGACUCUGGACGAGUCGGACGAAAUGUCGCAGGAGACAGAUAAAGAAGUGGACAGUUUCGACUCCAUCAGCGUGUGUCUCUCCCCGAUGCCCGGCACUCCAGACACCGGCAUCCCCGAGGAAACUGCCUCGUACUCGCUGUCUCCCCGGAGCACAUCCUGCAAACGCACACGCUCCUCCGAAUCCGACAUCGAGCUGCAGAAGCUGGAGGUGUUGAAGCAGAUGUCUGCUAAAGUCCUGGAGAACCCGUCUCCAGACGCCGCCACAGUCUUCUCCAGCCAGGUGGCCAUGGAGUACCGUCUGCUGAGAGACCCCAGCGUCCAGAUGCGCGUCCGCCGGCAGAUCAUGGCUCUCCUCUACGAGGCACAGGAUUCAGAGAGACGUUCCCGACAGUCCAAGAGACACGUACAGAGAGAACUCAAAACUGAGGAGGACGUUACUUGGAUUAACACUAAUAUAUAAGUUGAAAUGUGGUUUUGUUGCAGACUGUGUUCAUCUUGUUAAUGCUCUUGAUUGUUUUCUACGUUGUACUGAACUAUUUUUCUUAGUGGAAGCUUUGACAUAAUCUACAUGUAAGAUAAUAAAACAAUUUCAACUUGACGUCCGUGUACUAUUUCUGUAGCUGUUAGAUGAUGGAUAAUCAAAACAAGCUCUGACUGUUUUGCUAGUAUGAUGUGAAGUGCCAUCAAAUACCUUUUUGAGUCGAAAUACUGCAUCUGUCCAGCAGGUGGCAG